rnacentral:rRNA from 1 species
AUUGAACGCUGGCGGCGUGCCUAACACAUGCAAGUCGAGCGAUUCUCUUCGGAGGAGAGCGGCGGACGGGUGAGUAACGCGUGGGUAACCUGCCCUGUACACACGGAUAACAUACCGAAAGGUAUGCUAAUACGGGAUAAUAUGCUUUAGUCGCAUGGCUAAAGUAUCAAAGCUCCGGCGGUACAGGAUGGACCCGCGUCUGAUUAGCUAGUUGGUAAGGUAACGGCUUACCAAGGCGACGAUCAGUAGCCGACCUGAGAGGGUGAUCGGCCACAUUGGAACUGAGACACGGUCCAAACUCCUACGGGAGGCAGCAGUGGGGAAUAUUGCACAAUGGGCGAAAGCCUGAUGCAGCAACGCCGCGUGAGCGAUGAAGGCCUUCGGGUCGUAAAGCGCUGUCCUCAAGGAAGAUAAUGACGGUACUUGAGGAGGAAGCCCCGGCUAACUACGUGCCAGCAGCCGCCGCCG